AGUGAACGCUGGCGGUAGGCCUAACACAUGCAAGUCGAACGGCAGCACAGUAAGAGCUUGCUCUUACGGGUGGCGAGUGGCGGGCGGGUGAGGAAUAGAUCGGAAUCUACUUUUUCGUGGGGGAUAACGUAGGGAAACUUACGCUAAUACCGCAUACGACCUACGGGUGAAAGCAGUGGAUCUUCGGACCUUUCGCGAUUGUAUUAGCCGAUGUCGGAUUAGCUAGUUGGCGGGGUAAAGGCCCACCAAGGCGACGAUCCGUAGCUGGUCUGAGAGGAUGAUCAGCCACACUGGAACUGAGACACGGUCCAGACUCCUACGGGAGGCAGCAGUGGGGAAUAUUGGACAAAGGGCGCAAGCCUGAUCCAGCCAUACCGCGUGGGUGAAGAAGGCCUUCGGGUUGUAAAGCCCUUUUGUUGGGAAAGAAAAGCAGCAGGUUAAUACCCCGCUGUUCUGACGGUACCCAAAGAAUAAGCGCCGGCUAACUUCGUG
rnacentral:rRNA from 1 species